CGAACCGAUAAGAAGCUUGCUUUUUGUUGGUUAGCGGCGGACGGGUGAGUAACACGUGGGUAACCUGCCUGUAAGACCGGGAUAACUCCGGGAAACCGGUGCUAAUACCGGAUAGAUUAUCUUUCCGCCUGGAGAGAUAAGGAAAGAUGGCUUUUGCCAUCACUUACAGAUGGGCCCGCGGCGCAUUAGCUAGUUGGUGAGGUAACGGCUCACCAAGGCGACGAUGCGUAGCCGACCUGAGAGGGUGAUCGGCCACACUGGGACUGAGACACGGCCCAGACUCCUACGGGAGGCAGCAGUAGGGAAUCUUCCGCAAUGGACGAAAGUCUGACGGAGCAACGCCGCGUGAGCGAAGAAGGUCUUCGGAUCGUAAAGCUCUGUUGUUAGGGAAGAACAAGUAUCGGAGGAAAUGCCGGUACCUUGACGGUACCUGACGAGAAAGCCACGGCUAACUACGUGCCAGCAGCCGCGGUAAUACGUAGGUGGCAAGCGUUGUCCGGAUUUAUUGGGCGUAAAGCGCGCGCAGGCGGUCCUUUAAGUCUGAUGUGAAAU
rnacentral:rRNA from 1 species